CACCUCGUGGGACUUCACCUUCCGUUGCCAUCCACAUCUGUGGGAUUCAAAAUAAAUAUCACACUUUAAACACAUCCUGAAAGAGAGUAAUGGUCCUCGAAUCCACACCGUUUGCAGGAGCUGCUGCGCAGGGCUUCAAACGCAAUGUUUGUCCCCACUGGACAUUUGUAGUUCAUCCCGAGGCGACUGGCAGCCAUCUUCAUGUUGGUCGAGAAGCCUUCCCAGCUGCUGAGGAUGGAACCUUUUGAUGGUCAUCAAAGAAGUGAGAGUUCAGGGCGCCGAUGGAAUUUUUGAAAUGCGACACAGCCGACAGCUUUUCAGCCGAGUCUCCGUAAAGACGCGACUUUGCCACCCUGAUGAACCAACUGGAAAGAACAAAAGUGUUUGUCAAUACACACUUGCAAUCUCAGCACUGAAGGCCUGGUUCUGCACCUCCCGCAUGAAGGGCUCCAGCGACAGCAGACUUUGCAGGACCACGUUCAUGUAGCAGCUGUUGCCAAUGUUUGGCAGCCUGCAACACAACAGCAGUGUGAGAAUAGGCAUAAUGUCAUGUCAAGGAAAAGGUCAAAGGCCUUCCAGAGGGUCGACUGAGGGAGGACGGACAGUGCAACCUGCUGCUGCAGCGGCCUGUAGGAAGAGAAGAGACGGUGAGCAUCAUGGAGGGAAGGAUGGAAAUGGAAGAGCCGGGUGAACGGAGAAGAGGAAGACAAUGUUCCUGCAUGUGACGAAGAGGAAGUGCUUCAUGGAAAUAUCACACCGACACUCAGAGUUCACUUGAGUAUCGAAGCAGGUCAUGAGGAAAACAUCAAUGAAAAAGGAAGGUACCUGACCACCGGAGUGACUCGUCUCCCAGUACAGGUGAAGAGUUCCUAAAAACAAACAAACGGAGGAUUCACUGAUGGAUAAAAUACAGAGGAACAUUUUAACGAGACAAUAGCGAUGUGACUUACCGACGAAGAGUUCGGAAUCCAGAGCAUCUUGCUGCGUUGAAAGGCGAUGGCGAAGUUCGGACACGAAUAACCAGAUUUUCCACGACAAAUGAGAAACUAACCGUCAAUAAUUGCCCGGUCUUCUUUUAUUGGCACUUUAGUUGUCACGUGACGUACGAAUG